rnacentral:lncRNA from 1 species
CCCUGACUCCCAGGGGAUGCUGAGUCUGGCCUGCUGUGCAGUGGACUGCUAGCUGGGGCUCUGCCGCAGGCUCUCAGUGGCAGAGCCUUGGAGCACCAUGGCUUCCGCUAAGGACAUCGACGAUUUCAUCAAUUCCCUCAAAGCCAAAUUGGUAAGAAGUUCUUCCUCAUGUAUGGUUAAGGGAAUGGGGAAGCUGGGUGAAACUGAGAAUGUUCUGGCCCACCUGGGACCCAGGAGUGAAAGGACCAGGCCUCUUUGUCCCAACUCUGUCUCUCUUCACAGUUUCAAUUCGUGGAAUUGUUUUGUACAAACCUUCAAAAGAAGUCUAAAGAAGAGGUGGGUCAGUGCACUCCCCUCUGUCCAGUUUAAGUGGAAUAGGGUGGCUUUGUUGCAGGAAGGAAGACCUUUUCCAGCGCCUGAGAGUGGGCUCUUGUCUAACACUCGGAAAUAAUUCUCUGAGGAGACAUACGUGCUGACAAAGCAAGAGAGUUUAUUGAGAAAGGGCGCCCGGGUGGGGCACAGGAGGGUAAGGGAAACCAGGAGAACUGCUCUGCCUGCUGGUUCACAGUCUUGGGCUUCAUGGUGAUGGAAUUAGUUUCUGGGCUGUCUUUGGCCAGUUGUUCUGACUCGGAGUCCUGCCUGGUGGCGCACACCUUGCUCAGCCAAGAUGGAUGCCAGCGAGAAGGAUUCUGGGAGGUGGUCAGACACGUCCUGUCUCCUUUUGAGCUUUCCCCAACUCUUCCAGUUACUGGCAGCUUGUUAGUUCCCUGUUCCUCACUAGGACCUCCUGUCCUAAAAUUACUCAUGCAGAUGGUUAUGGUGGUGCCUGGCCAGGGUGGGCAGUUUCAGUCAGUGUGUUUCCCCUAACAAUUUCAUGAUAAUGGUGAUGAUGAAGGUGAUAGCUCAGGGCCCAGUCCCUACACUGCACAAAAUUCACCUGUGUAUCCAUUGUAUCCGCUGACCGCACAGGUGGGGGAUACGGAGGCCCAGGGCUGCUGGGGGAGGUGUGCAAGUCACAGGGCAGUAUGACAGAACAGCAGUGUCAGAUGCCUGGUCCGCAGCCACCGGAGGAAGAGGGGACACCAGUGAGCACAGACUCGGGCUUGAGAUUGAGACUCGAAGUGAGAGAGGGUAGGGGAAUUUUAAACUGAGUGAUAUUUUCCCAAUAGGUCUGCUCAGAUCUUAUUUUAAUGGAGGUGAGUUUGGGUCUUGCCCUUCCCCUGAAGUUGAGUCCCCAGGGUUGGGAUCAGCCAGGGUACUGGGUCUGGACGUCUGUCUUCCUUCUGACUCUCCUGGACCCAUGGGAGGCCCAGUGGGGACAACAGAGCUCAGCUGCAAGCCACGUGGGCAGUCUCCACAUUUUCUUUCCUCAGAGCAUAUGCAGUGCAGAUAUGGCUGACGCCGUGGAUGCUCAAGUUAACAACUCGGUGAGUUUGCGCUGACAUCUCAGCCCCUCUUGAUUCCCUUCCCCACUGGUCUGUCUUCUCAUUGGUCCUGCCACAGGUGCACAGAGCUCCCCGGAGCGGGGCUGGGGGGCCCUGAGAGCUCCGGAGGGCAGCCUUGGGGCAUCAGCCUCCUCACUCAGUGCGCGGCGAGCAGAGCCCUGCCUUCAGCCCCCUGCCUGUGAGCCCUGGGGCCUCAUGCUGAGUUCAGAGGUCAUUCCAUCUUCAGGUACAAUAAAGCACCAGGGCUCAUUUCUCGAGGGGACCCA